GCAAACUUGGUCAUUUAGAGGAAGUAAAAGUCGUAACAAGGUUUCCGUAGGUGAACCUGCGGAAGGAUCAUUAUUGAAUAAAACCUGGUUGGGUUGUUGCUGGCUUCCAAGAAGCAUGUGCACGCCUAAUCCGUUUUUUUAACCACCUGUGCACCUUUUGUAGACUCUGCUCGGUUUGAGGGAAUUGCUGUUGUCUGGAAGCCUCAGCUUUUCUCGAGAUCGUUCGGGUCUAUGUCACAUAUUACACCCCACAAUGUAUUAGAAUGUUAUGAAUAGGCCAGUGUGCCUUUAAAACACAAUACAACUUUCAACAACGGAUCUCUUGGCUCUCGCAUCGAUGAAGAACGCAGC
rnacentral:misc_RNA from 1 species